rnacentral:ncRNA from 1 species
AACACAACAAAGAAAAGAAGAGUAACUAAUUGAAUGCGUUAAAGAGAGUCGGGAAAGGUGAAAGCCGAUACGUUAUUUGAUGGUGAAGAUGGUCUUGGAGUUGUUAAGUUGCGAUAUUUAGUGACUUACGGGUUCGCCCGCUAUAGCGAACGAGUAUAACUCAUCGUGCAUGCCGGUGAGCGUACUUAGUGAGGAUAAUUGUGCAAGCAAUUAUUAAAUGCGGGUGGUAACACGUUGAUUUUGAAAAUGACGUCCCUAGG